AUUCCAGCUCCAAUAGUGUAUAUUAAAGUUGUUGCAGUUAAAAAGCUCGUAGUUGGAUUUCUGGCGGGAGCGAUCGGUCCUUCACUCAGUGUUGGAACCUGAUUGUCUCCUGCCAUCCAUGGAGAAAACUUAUCUGGCAUUAAGUUGUCGGGUAGGCAAUCUCCAUCUUUUACUGUGAAAAAAUUAGAGUGUUCAAAGCAGGCUUAUGCCGUUGAAUAUAUUAGCAUGGAAUAAUAAUAUAGGACUUUGGUCUUAUUUGUUGGUUCAGGGACUGAAGUAAUGAUUGAUAGGGAUAGUUGGGGGUGCUAGUAUUCAGCGGCCAGAGGUGAAAUUCUUGGAUUCGCUGAAGACUAACUUAUGCGAAAGCAUUCACCAAGGAUGUCUUCAUUA
rnacentral:rRNA from 1 species